rnacentral:tRNA from 1 species
ACCUGGGUGGCUCAGUCGGUUGAGCAUCUGACUUCGGCUCAGGUCAUGAUCUCGUGGUCUGUGAGUUCGAGCCCCAUGUCAGGCU